rfam:Chloroflexi bacterium RBG_16_56_8 RBG_16_scaffold_52340, whole genome shotgun sequence.
GGAGGCGAUUGAGUCCCGGUGGGCUCCGCGGUCUUCAAAACCGUUGCGAGGCGUGAACCGUCUCGGGUGGGUUCGACUCCCAUUCGCUUCC